GAUGAAGAACGUAGCGAAAUGCGAUACGUAAUGUGAAUUGCAGAAUUCAGUGAAUCAUCGAAUCUUUGAACGCACAUUGCGCCCGCCAGCACUCUGGCGGGCAUGCCUGUUCGAGCGUCAUUUCAACCAUCAAGCCCCAGGCUUGCGUUGGAGCCCUGCGGCUGCCGCAGCCUCCUAAAAGCAGUGGCGGGCUCGCUAUCACACCGAGUGCUGUAGAUUACUCUUCGCUCAGGGCGUGCAGCGGGUUCCGGCCGUGAAACCCCCUACUUUUAAAGGUUGACCUCGGAUCAGGUAGGAAUACCCGCUGAACUUAAGCAUAUCAAUAAGCGGAGGA
rnacentral:misc_RNA from 1 species